rnacentral:tRNA from 1 species
GGUCGCUUGGUCUAGAGGUAUGAUUCUACCUUCGGGUGGUAGAGGUCACGAGUUCGAUUCUCGUAGCGACCCCCG